rnacentral:rRNA from 1 species
UACAGAGGUCCCAAGCGUUGUUCGGAUUCACUGGGCGUAAAGGGUGCGUAGGCGGUCGGGUAAGUCUGAUGUGAAAUCUCACAGCUUAACUGUGAAACUGCAUUGGAUACUAUCCGGCUCGAGGAAUGGAGGGGAGACUAGAAUACUUGGUGUAGCAGUGAAAUGCGUAGAUAUCAAGUGGAACACCAAUGGCGAAGGCAGCUCGCUGGAACGGUACUGACGCUGAGGCGCGAAAGCGUGGGGAGCAAACAGG